AACGGUCUAUACCUGCGGUACCUGCGGAGGGAUCAUUAUCGAGUUAGGGUCUUCUCAGGCCCGACCUCCCAACCCCAUGUUUAAUUGAACCUAUGUUGCUUCGGCGGGCCCGUCUCACGGCCGCCGGGGGACCGUAAGACGUCCUCUGGCCCGCGCCCGCCGGUGGCCAAACUUGACAAACUCUGAUUAAAUCGUUGUCACUGUCUGAGUACCAUUUUUAAUUAAAGUAAAACUUUUAAC
rnacentral:misc_RNA from 1 species